rnacentral:rRNA from 1 species
AUGGUUUUCUUUUAAAAGAUGGCUCUGCUAUCACUUCUGGAUGGACCCGCGGCGUAUUAGCUAGUUGGUGAGGUAAAGGCUCACCAAGGCAGUGAUACGUAGCCGACCUGAGAGGGUAAUCGGCCACAUUGGGACUGAGACACGGCCCAGACUCCUACGGGAGGCAGCAGUAGGGAAUCUUCCACAAUGGACGCAAGUCUGAUGGAGCAACGCCGCGUGAGUGAAGAAGGGUUUCGGCUCGUAAAGCUCUGUUGUUAAAGAAGAACGUGGGUAAGAGUAACUGUUUACCCAGUGACGGUAUUUAACCAGAAAGCCACGGCUAACUACGUGCCAGCAGCCGCGGUAAUACGUAGGUGGCAAGCGUUAUCCGGAUUUAUUGGGCGUAAAGCGAGCGCAGGCGGUCAUUUAAGUCUAAUGUGAAAGCCAUCGGCUCAACCGAAGAAGUGCAUUGGAAACUGGGAGACUUGAGUGCAAAAGAGGACAGUGGAACUCCAUGUGUAGCGGUGAAAUGCGUAAAUAUAUGGAAGAACACCAGUGGCGAAGGCGGCUGUCUGGUCUGCAACUGACGCUGAGGCUCGAAAGCAUGGGUAGCGAACAGGAUUAGAUACCCUGGUAGUCCAUGCCGUAAACGAUGAUUACUAAGUGUUGGAGGGUUUCCGCCCUUCAGUGCUGCAGCUAACGCAUUAAGUAAUCCGCCUGGGGAGUACGACCGCAAGGUUGAAACUCAAAAGAAUUGACGGGGGCCCGCACAAGCGGUGGAGCAUGUGGUUUAAUUCGAAGCUACGCGAAGAACCUUACCAGGUCUUGACAUCUUCUGACAGUCUAAAAGAUUA